rnacentral:misc_RNA from 1 species
AACAUAUAUGACCUUAUCAUCAAUUACAGGAAAUCCAUUAUGCCUUGUUGUUUGGAGAACAUGUACUAUAUUACCAACCUUCUCAAGGCCAUGAAACAGCUGAAGUGGACCUGUGACUACAUCACCAACUGUCAGCUGCCUCAUGUAAGGCUCAGAAUGCAUUUCUAGAUAAGGAAAACCCUUCGCUUUCAUGAUAAGGUCAUAUAUGUUACCAUUAAAUGCAUCAGCCACAGUCUUGGAAACAAGAAGAACC